rnacentral:rRNA from 1 species
AUUGAACGCUGGCGGCAGGCCUAACACAUGCAAGUCGAGCGAGCGGCGCGCGGGUGAGUGAUGUGUGGGGAACUGCCUGAUGGAGGGGGAUAACUACUGGAAACGGGGUCUAAUACCGCAUACCAUCUGGUAUGCGCCGAUGGGAUUAGCUAGUGGGUGGGGUAAUGGCUCACCUAGGCGACAAUCCCUAGCUGGUCUGAGAGGAUGACCAGCCACACUGGAACUGAGACACGGUCCAGACUCCUACGGGAGGCAGCAGUGGGGAAUAUUGCACAAUGGGCGCAAGCCUGAUGCAGCCAUGCCGCGUGUGUGAAGAAGGCCUUCGGGUUGUAAAGCACUUUCAGCGGGGAGGCGUUACCCGCAGAAGAAGCACCGGCUAACUCCGUGCCAGCAGCCGCGGUAAUUC